CUGCUCAUCAUAUUGGUGUGUGUCUGCAGUCAUUUGGCCCUGAUCAGGCUAUUGAUCAGUGCGUGCAGAGGCCUAACACAGGUGGCUAACAUCGUUGUUGCAGAAAGCAACAAGUAACAUAGAAGCUAUAAUUUCAUAUGUAACUCCGAAAAUUUUGUCUUCUAAUGUUUUUUUUCUUUUUUUCUUUUUCUAGAAUGAGUUCACUGUGACAUUCAAAUGCAGCCAAAAUCCAAGAGGCAAGAAAGUAGUACCGCUUGAUAGACUUAAGACUGAAGUAACAUCAUAUUUGAAAAGUCAUGGAUGUUAGGCCAAGUCUUCUGUGACUGAAAAAAGAGAAACAUCACUGUCAUUU